rnacentral:ribozyme from 1 species
AAAAAGAAAAGAAAGAAAGAAAGAAAGAAAGAAAAACGAAAUGCCGAAACCCAUGCCGAAAGUUCAAACUCUUCCAGUGGUUUGGUGAUUUUAAUUAUUUGUUUUAUUUAAUGCUUUCACCUUUUUUAUUCUUUUAUUUAAUAAGAAGUUGAAGUGUUGAAGGAGUUGAAGAAACUCUUAUAAGUUCUAAU